CACGUAGGGCGCGAGCGUUGUCCGGAAUUAUUGGGCGUAAAGAGCUCGUAGGCGGCCUGUUGCGUCCGCUGUGAAAGCCCGGGGCUUAACCCCGGGUCGGCAGUGGAUACGGGCAGGCUAGAGGUAGGUAGGGGAGAAUGGAAUUCCCGGUGUAGCGGUGAAAUGCGCAGAUAUCGGGAGGAACACCGGUGGCGAAGGCGGUUCUCUGGACAGUUACUGACGCUGAGGCACGAAGGCCAGGGGAGCAAACAGG
rnacentral:rRNA from 1 species